CCUACGGGUGGCAGCAGUGAGGAAUAUUGGUCAAUGGGCGGAAGCCUGAACCAGCCAAGUCGCGUGAGGGAUUAAGGCCCUGCGGGUCGUAAACCUCUUUUGCCGGGGAGCAGAGGUCCGGACGUGUCCGGGCCGGGAGAGUACCCGGAGAAAAAGCAUCGGCUAACUCCGUGCCAGCAGCCGCGGUAAGACGGAGGAUGCGCGCGUUAUCCUGAUUUAUUGGGUUUAAGGGGUGCGUAGGCGGGCAUUUAAGCCGGCGGUCAAGUGGCGGGGCUCAACCCCGGCCUGCCGUCGGAACUGGGUGCCUUGAGUGGGCGAGAAGUAUGCGGAAUGCGUGGUGUAGCGGUGAAAUGCAGAGAUAUCACGCAGAACCCCGAUUGCGAAGGCAGCAUACCGGCGCCCUACUGACGCUGAGGCACGAAAGUGCGGGUAUCGAACAGGAUUAGAUACCCCUGUAGUC
rnacentral:rRNA from 1 species